UCAACCAGGUAGCCGAGUACAGGACCAGCCAACGAGGUAGCAGUACAGGAUCAGCCAAUGAGGUAGCCAUGAGCAGGAUCAGCCAACCUGGUAGUCGAGAGCAGGACCAGCCAACCAGGUAGCCGAGUACUGGACCACCAACCAAAUAGCUGUGUAAUAGGUUGAGAAAGAUUGCACGUUAUUCACACAUGCUGAACGAAUUUCCAGAUGAAACCUAAACAAAUAACAUCAUGUUGAGAUUGUAUUCAUUUAUGGUGUUAUGGAGGACAAGUCCAAAUAUGAUGCAGCAGUGACAAAAACCAUGCCUGAUGCAAUACCCAUGUUUUACAAGUCUUGUCUUGAAUUGCCUUACCUUUCCAUGUUCUCUCAACGUUUUGAUGACACCUUGUAUAAGCAUUUUCUCACUGUUUCAUUAUGACAUGCUAAUGCUUUCAGUACAAACUUCUCAAAGUAAUGGGAUGUUUUUGUCGCCUUUUUAAAAUAUGAACAUAGUUAGAUGUUUGCGGAAACUGUUCUUUUGUAUAUGUUGAUAUAUUCGUAAAAUGAUAUUAAAUGUUUAAGUUGA